GAUGAACGCUGGCGGCGUGCCUAAUACAUGCAAGUCGAGCGAACAGAUGAGGAGCUUGCUCCUCUGACGUUAGCGGCGGACGGGUGAGUAACACGUGGAUAACCUACCUAUAAGACUGGGAUAACUUCGGGAAACCGGAGCUAAUACCGGAUAAUAUAUUGAACCGCAUGGUUCAUUAUUGAAAGACGGUUUUGCUGUCACUUAUAGAUGGAUCCGCGCCGCAUUAGCUAGUUGGUAAGGUAACGGCUUACCAAGGCAACGAUGCGUAGCCGACCUGAGAGGGUGAUCGGCCACACUGGAACUGAGACACGGUCCAGACUCCUACGGGAGGCAGCAGUAGGGAAUCUUCCGCAAUGGGCGAAAGCCUGACGGAGCAACGCCGCGUGAGUGAUGAAGGUCUUCGGAUCGUAAAACUCUGUUAUUAGGGAAGAACAAAUGUGUAAGUAACUAUGCACGUCUUGACGGUACCUAAUCAGAAAGCCACGGCUAACUACGUG
rnacentral:rRNA from 1 species